CCGGCGCACGGGUGAGUAACGCGUAUCCAACCUGCCCUUUACUAUGGGACAGCCCGUCGAAAGGCGGAUUAAUACCGUAUGUUGUCAUGUUGAUGCAUAUUUUCAUGACCAAAGGCUUCGGCCGGUAAAGGAUGGGGAUGCGUCUGAUUAGCUUGCCGGCGGGGUAACGGCCCACCGGGGCGACGAUCAGUAGCCGGCCUGAGAGGGCGGACGGCCACAUUGGGACUGAGACACGGCCCAGACUCCUACGGAAGGCAGCAG
rnacentral:rRNA from 1 species